rnacentral:rRNA from 1 species
GAUGAACGCUGGCGGCGUGCCUAAUACAUGCAAGUCGAGCGAACAGACGAGGAGCUUGCUCCUCUGACGUUAGCGGCGGACGGGUGAGUAACACGUGGAUAACCUACCUAUAAGACUGGGAUAACUUCGGGAAACCGGAGCUAGUACCGGAUAAUAUAUUGAACCGCAUGGUUCAAUAGUGAAAGACGGUUUUGCUGUCACUUAUAGAUGGAUCCGCGCCGCAUUAGCUAGUUGGUAAGGUAACGGCUUACCAAGGCAACGAUGCGUAGCCGACCUGAGAGCAUGGGCGGCCAGGCUGGGGUUCGCCCACGGCCCAGCCUCCUACGGGCGGCAGCGUGGCGGAGUCUUCGGCCUGGCCCGCAUGAUUGACCGUGCAACCACGCGGGAGUGAUGAUGGGCUCCGGAUCGUAAGCCGGUGUUAUUAGGGAAGACCCAAACUGCCAUUGGCUGAGGCCGGCUGGCCGGUGCCGAACCAGAAGGUGCCGGCUAGCCCCUUG